rnacentral:lncRNA from 1 species
UAUAAAGUACACAAAUACUCGCUAAAAAGCAAAGAUUAUAUAACCCCCAUUUAGCACAAAAAGGAUGCCUUUAUGAUGUCCAUCUGCAGCCAAAUUCUGCCUACAUUCCAUCUCAGAGCAUAUAGAUAAGUGCAUUUCUCAAAUUCUGUGGAGGCUAUAGAACUUAAAUAUGAAGACACAUUACUGGUUUCAUUAGAAGCUGUAAUAUACUUGAUUUCAGAGACUGGAUCUUUGUCACAAGGUCUGCAUUAACUCCCAUUUGUUCUUAUUCUGAGGAAAAUAAAGCGUAUUUCUGGAAUUGAAACCUUGAUCUACCAGAGGAAGGAAUUUGCCUUUGGGCUGCCAGCUGCAGGAAGCACAAAAAGCUCAGGAGGGGCAACUUCAUCUUCUCAGUCCUGGAGCUCGUCACAUGCAGAGCCCCUGAAGGAGCAAUAACCACAGGUUUAUCUCUGCAAGCCUGGCUGCACACUGUAAAUGGCAAACACAGCUACAGUACUAGUCAGCAGUGGAAUGUGAUGGUUCUGUCCUCCACCAUAUAAUUUAAAACCUGCUCUCACCCUUGGCAAAUCUCUCAAUUAAAAUCCCAAUCACAGCUUUUCUUGGGCUUUUGGAUAUCAUAAGCCCAAGGGGAGAAACACUGUUUUCUACUAAAAAAAUCAGGCGGUGCUUCAUCUCUACCCAAUAUAUUAGUCAUGCAGAAAAAAAUGCAUUAAAAGAAAUUCAUGUUUCUUAGAAUGAGGUAACUCAGAGCUUGCAAAGCUGCCAGUCUGUAUUUUCAGUUCAACAGGAUAAAGGAACUGGACAUGUAAAAAUAAUUUUCUUGCAAAUUGUACCAAGAUGACUUUAAACAGCUAAAUAAUUGCAAUUACAAUGACAUUAUUUUCAGGCCUUUAAGGAAAAAAAAUGAGGUUAUGUAAGAAUGAAGUGCAACAGAAGUAUUUGUUCUUUCAUAUUUUUGAACAUUUGGAUGUGAUUUGUCACUGUGUUUACGUUUAGAUGCUUUGUGGAUCAAGGCAUGAUGGAGGAAUUAGGUUUCACUUAUAUGAAAAUUCAGGCAAGAUUAAUUUUGUUCUGUAGCCUUUUUUAAGCCUGGGUUUUAACAUUCCACAUCAACUGUCACACUGAGACAGGGGUUAGGUGAACAUCUGCCAGUAGCACCACAAGCAGUAUUGGUGAUUUUGAGUAGUAACUGGAAUUGGAAGUUUUGCUGAAAAUUAUGAGGUUAAAUAAUAACAAAAAAUCAAAACUUAAAAAAAAAAAUUUGUUUUCAUCUGUCCUGUUUUCUUAAGCGUUCACAUUUCAAAACUUAUCCAUGUGCCCAUAAGAGCUGGAAAAAAAAAUUUCUCAUGCAUUGAAAAAGAGAAGCUGAGUUUCCCAUGUUCCAGGAGCUGGGACUGCUGAAAGGACAACAGAAUAAAUUUUGAGAAUUGCAAUGUUCUGUAACAGAAAUAGUUGGUGAGAGUUAAAAUAGCAUCACGUUCUUUUGGCUGCAUAACUUUGAUAUUUAAAUUAUCUGCUGCAUUCCCUUCCUCUGAUAACUGAACCUUAUGUAAUGGAAAACAAUAAUCUAAUAUCCUAAUAGACUUUUAACAUGGCCAUUAGCCAGCACGUCCAGUGGAAAUAAAUGCCUAUAUUAUUAGUCCAAUCUAUCACGAGAUCUUGCAGCAUUUGGGACAUUCCCUUGGGUCAUCAUUGCACACACCUCCUAUAAUAAAUCUUAAAUUGUGACAAAUAAUGUCUUUUUCCUGUGGAUACCCCCUCUCUUCUAUAUCUGUUUGUUUUCUAAAAUAUAGUGGAUUUUUUAUGCAGCGGGAAAAAUGGUGGUUAAUGAAUGAUAAAAAAAUAUAAUUUAUCCUAUUAAAGCCCAGUCUUUGUUUUCUGUUUCUGUGUGGUUUAGACCUUG